CCUACGGGAGGCAGCAGUGAGGAAUAUUGGGCACUGGACGCAAGUCUGAACCAGCCAUGCCGCGUGCAGGAAGACGGCUCUAUGGGUUGUAAACUGCGUUUGUACGAGGGUAAAUCCCGAUACGUGUAUCGGGUUGAAAGUAUCGUACGAAUAAGGAUCGGCUAACUUCGUGCCAGCAUCCGCGGUAAUACGGAGGAUUCAAGCGUUAUACGGAUUUGUUGGGUUUAAAGGGUGCGUAGGCGGUUCGUUAAGUUAGAGGUGAAAUCCCGGGGCUCAACUGCGGCACGGCAUUGGAUACUGUCAGGCUAGAGUGUAGAUGCGGUAGGCGGAAUGUAUGGUGUAGCGGUGAAAUGCAUAGAGAUCAUACAGAACACCGAUUGCGAAGGCAGCUUACCAAACUACGACUGACGUUGAGGCACGAAAGCGUGGGGAGCAAACAGGAUUAGAUACCCGUGUAGUC
rnacentral:rRNA from 1 species